rnacentral:lncRNA from 1 species
CGUUCCGGACGUCUGUGGGUCGAUACGGUGGACAGCACGUGCGGUACGGUCUGGGUGAUAGGAUGGAACGGUACGGAAGCACGAUCCGAUGGGAAAACAUGGUCGGUAUGGAUGGAAUGAUCAGAUGGGAUGACACGGGCAGUAUGUUCAGCACGAAUGAUGGUAAAACCUCGGUUGGGUCGAGCUGGAUGACAAGAUCGCCACCUUGGGCCGUGUCCAUGAUCCAAGCCGAUCGAUGCUUGAUUCGGGGCGUAUCACCAAGGCUAUUACCUUAUUGUAACGCUCAUACGCGGAUUCGGAAUAAAACAUUUCUUGCUCUCUUUUCUAUUCUCAUAUUUACUUUUCUUCUAUAUUCUCGUGUUAUGAUUGCUUGGCGUGUGGUUUAGCAGAUAUCCGGGACCUCUGGAAAAUUUAGGGUUUCCUGUCUUCCCCGAAUCAA